rnacentral:sRNA from 1 species
AGUUGAUAUAUAAAAA